UGAACCUGCAUCUCCUAUGUCUCCUGCAUUGAAGACAGACUUCGUGCAUGUGGUUGUACACACCGCUACCGGCAACUCCUGCGUCCCACAUCUCACAAUUUUGCUACGAGAAGAAAAGAAAGAAAAAAAAAAACCACUUGACUAAAAUUGCCCACCUCCUCGCCCCCAGCCUGAUACCCGUUGGAAAGUCCCAGGGAAAGCCGACGUGGACUCAGGUGGGGUGAGGGGCCCCGGGUGGGGGCGCAUCCUUUAUCAUCCAGUCCCCGCUGGAAGCAGAAGGCUGCAGUGAGAAAGAGUCUCCCCCAGGAAGACAGGGGGGUCCCCAGAAAUGAGGAGGGCUCGGAAGCAGUCAGAGCGAUACGUGCUCACACCAAAGCGAAGGGGGUCAUUGUUCUUCUUGCUUCACUCCCCGGCAAGGAGGACUCAAGGCUAACGGGGAAGCUCGUGGUCAAACCCACGUGUGGCCGACGUGGGGAACACAGUCCAGAACAGGUUGAAAGGCGUCUCUGCGUUGAAAGUGCUUGGCAAUAAAAGGUAAACCAAGUUAUUCUGGCGCCAGAACCUAAACUAUUCCAGUUUAUAGUCUUAACACAAGUACUACAGGACCAAGGAUCAAAACCAGUUUGUAUUUUGUUAGGAAACAGCACUAUUUCAGUUUCUUUGCUUUUUUCCCUCACAAAGUUUUAUUCAUCUCCUGUUAAAUCAUGCAUAUGAUUUACUUGGGGCUAUGACUGAAAUUUUUUCAAUUAGAAAAAUGUAAAUUACAGAUACAUUAUUUACAAUGCAUACAUGGUCAACUGUGUUUUAGAGAAUCACCUGAGGAAACAGUAGCAGGAUAAAACCACACAAAGAUAGGUUCUUUGACAUCACACUGGUUUAAAUGAUCCUCCUGUUCCUUUUGGGUCUCUUGGUAGAGCUUUUCCAUUCCUGAGCGCUUUUUCUCUGGUGACUCUUGUCUGCCGUGGGAACUGUUCUGAUGGGCAGUCGCCCGUUGCAUGGGGUUUAUCUGUGGCCCCAUGAUGGGGAACUUCCACCCCAUACUCACUUACUGGGUGUGUCAGCUGGACCCAGCUCCUCUGUGUUGGCGCCUGUGGGUACUGUUCAUCUGGGCCAUGUGUCUGUUUAUUCCCCACCACCUGUCCCAGGCUGUGUCCACCACAUCCUUGAAGACUGGAGAAAACGUCACACUCCAGGGCCUUUGUCCCUCUCGGCAGAGACUGGAUGGAGCACUUCCUGCCCAUGGUCGCAAUGGGAGAGCCAGAGGGCAGCGCUGAAAAUAAUAUUCCGGGGAAUCAGCCCCCCUCAUCGUGAAACCCCCUCCAGAGUGCCUUUGUGCAGAGGAGCUCCAGCAGCUAGGAAGCCCACACUGUGCCUUACGGAUGAGGCUGCGUUUGCCUGCUCACUCCAUGCCCGUGCGGAGGGGGGAGACGGCUGCUUUGUGACAGUUUCCACGCUUUAUCUCACCAUCCAUACGCUUCCUCCGCUUCCCUGCGCUUCCCGUGCGGACGUUUACAUACAUGCCUGACUGUCCCAAGAUCCUAAAGGAAGUAGGAGCACAUUACGACGGUCUAAAUCAGAGUCCAAGCGCAGGGCCAGGCUGUUACACAUUCAAUCACAUCCUAAAAACCAACCACAGGCCUUAAAAAAAGAAAGCUUCUCAAACCCCAAGAAUAACCUAAUUGCUUCUAUGUUGCACUGAGUUAUAUAACUACAUACUCUUCUCAUGCAAAGGCAAAACUAUGUUGGUCCCUGUUACUUAGACAUUAAAUUGCUUAGUUCCUUGGGGUCAUGGGGCAGUUAGGGAGUUUGGGAAGGUCAUGUACACACUACUAUGUUUAAAAUAGGUAACCAACAAGGACCUAUUGUACAGCAUAGGGAACUCUGCUCAAUGUUAUGUGGCAGGCUGGAUGGGAGGGGAGUUUGGAUACAAGGAUAUGGAUGACAGAGUCCCUUUGCAGUCCCCGGGACUAUGGCAAAUAAAAUAACAUCAUAAAUAAAAAGUUUGGAAAAAGUCAAACUGCUUAAUUCUUUCAGAAACAUUUCUGACCAAAAAAAAAAGAAUCCAACAAUAGAGCUAUCCGGAGGUUUGCAGGCAUUAGCAAUUCCGGUCGUUUGGUGAUUGAAUUAUUCCUGGUCUGUUAUUCUGCUUUGAAAUGCUGAUGCCUCCCCUUCUCCUCUCUCUCUCUCUGUUUCUCCCUCCUUUCCUCUCACUGCCAGAGGGAAAGGAAGGAGGGGGGAGCCCACCUCCCUCGCCGCCUGAGCUGAGUAAUUGGACAGAGACCCACUUCGGCGGCAGGAAAUGGAACCGAUCCAGGUGACCCAUGAAUAAUCCCUAGUAGACUGCAACUUUCAUUCUCGGGGUUUCCUGAUGGGAAUAUAACAAAGUUCUGGACUCUGGAGGACAAGAAAACAAGAAAAAGCCCUUUCUACUUAAAAAAAAAAAAGACUUCUUUAUUCACAACCUCACUGCCCAUGGAGUGAAAUUGAUCACUUUUGUAAAACAUUUCAUUUUCUGGCAGGGAAAUUCAAACCUGGCUGAGGGUUAUAGCCCUUUCUUUGUGUCCAAGGAUUUCCAUGUGCGAUUUCUCUUAACGGUAAUUCUCUUUCUAUCAAAAUUUGAGUGUAUCACACAACAUUCUCGAAAGCACAGGAUUCCUUUCUAUCUAGUGGCCGUAAGAGGAGUAACUCUGACACACGCCUUCUUUUAGAUGAUAACUAGCUCUUUGUGAACAAAAUAGCCAUGAUUCGGGAACAGCCUCGCCCCUCCCAGGCCUGUCGCCUGGGGGAGAGACUCCGAGGUGAUGGAGAGGUAAA